GGGCUAUGUAUCUAAUAAGCAAUCAGUUCCAACCACAUGUACUGAACAGCUAGAGUAGAACCGUCAUCAUGAAAGUGAAAAAAUGGUACAAGUCACUCCUCUUUCUACCACUACCACAAAUUAAAUGAGUAAAAGUAAAACAGCCUUAAUGGGAAAACUUACAAAGCUUUUGGGCGGUAAUAGAAGUGAUGAUCAAAUGAAUGAAUGAUGUGGAAAGUAAUCUUAUGGGGUGAUGAAAAACCAUUAGAUUGCUC
rnacentral:misc_RNA from 1 species